rnacentral:lncRNA from 1 species
AACAUCUUUAUUCUUUUCAACCAUGUUUACUUGACCCUUCUCUUAUCUUUCUUCGGAGCACGACACUUUGUAGAUUUGAGCCCAGCUUGUCCAUGGUUGUAGCAAUUUCCGUUGAAUCGUUGCUUGCUUGGGUUGCUUUUCGGUCCAAAAUCAUGCUUCCUCUUUCUCUCAUUUUGAGAAGUAUCCUCAAUAAUGUUUGCUCCCAUUAUUGUUGAGUUUCCACGGCCGCUCUUUUCAGCAGCUUUGUUGUCCUC